GGGGCGGGGGAGGCAGACCAUAGGAGCCUUAUAAAUUGUGUUUAAGACUAGAAACACAAGCCAUCAGGUAGAUUAAGCAGAAAUAUGACACCAUCAUCUUUGAGUUUUGAGAAGAUCAUUCCAGCUGUGAGGUGGAGAGGGAAUUGGAGGAAACCUGAAAUGGGCAUAGGUGACAGUCAUGCUUUCCACCUUCUUCACCCUGAACAAGUCAUCAUCAAACAUAACUCACACUCCCCAGCCAGCCGCAAAAAACAACAAUAAAAACAUCCAAAAGCAUCCUAAGAUGAAGCAAGAAGGCCCUCACCAGAAGCUGAGCAGAUGUCAGCACCAUGCUUUGGGAUUUAAACCACCAGAACUGUGAGCUAAAAAAAUCUUUUUUUCUUUUUGCAUCAUCCAGUCUCAGGUAUUUUGUUACAGCAAUAGAAAAUGGACUAAGAUAGCAACAAAAUAUCCCUCCUCCAUAGCUGCCCAUAUACAUAUUUUGAUACUCUCAGCAAGAAAUUUUGUUUUAUCUGAAAAGACUCAUGUCAAUUUCACAACUUGCCUCAAUAAUUUCUUCUCACAAGCCCUUACUUGUGCUAUAUCCUCUCAUCUAGAAUGCCCUUCUCUCUCCUCUCUUCCUGUCUGAACCCACUUGCCUCACCUUUUGAAGACCAAGCCUACUUUCUAAGCUUAUCUAUGAACUCUACCCUAGUAAUUCCAUUUAACAACAGAAUCUUCCCCAAUCAAAUGCCUAUACUAUUCACUGUAUGAAUUGCUCAC